UCCUCCUCAGCAGUUGGGUUACAGCUAUGUGCCUCAGUGAGGGAGGGCCAGGGAUCAGAACUCCGGUUCUCAUGAUCUGUCCAUCUCCUGAACCCGUAGUCUUCCCAUGUAGGUGUAAGAAACAUUCCAUCUUUGUAGUAAUAAGGCUAAGAAUUAUUGAGUAUUUAUGUGUACCAGACAUUACAUCAAGCAUGGACAGGGCCCAUAAAUGUAUUUCAUAAUGUCAGUGAAUUCCUCUAUGUGAUUUUACCUUUCUUGUGACCAACAGAAAGAUCCAAAAUUAGAGUUGGAAAAUAUCUGUGCUGAGGGAGUUUUACAAGGUCUGCACUCCAAGCUCAUAACUGCCUAUAGGCAGGGGAGAGGUAGAGCCUUUCUCGUCUGUGGCGGUGGGGUGUUCAGAGACUCUUGAUUCAGUGCCCCCAAGCGCCUGCCUUCACCAUCAGAUUAACCAGGUACUUUCCCACAGAUGGUCAAAUCCCAGCAUGAGUUCGGAUGCCUUGUUUGUGGAAGCCAUUCUGCUCUGUAAAACCAUUGCUACAAUGCACAGCAACAGUCAUUGAAAAAUAUUCCAGCUGCUGCCAUCCUUUUUGGGCUUCACAGAAGGCACAUUUAUUGGAGAUUGGUGGUCUAGAAUGAGAUGGUCAACCUUUAAUUUUGUCAAAUAAGAACAGUGAGAAAAGUGAAAACUGUCUCAGAAUGUAAUUCUAAGUGCCCUGAGAAGAAAAUAGUUCCCUCCCCUCCACAUUUUCCACUUUAAAACAUACUGUUACUCUGCCCAGACGUCCACGUCUGGGCGCAGGCUGGGGUUUUAGUAAGCUUUCACAGGAGCAUAAGAAUUGCCAUCCUCUGUAAAUUCCCAGAGUUCUAUCGUGUGCUGUACACAGGCACUGAAUAACCACACACACAUGAAUUGAUAAACCACUUGAGUGUUGUAGAACCUUAGAGAAACAGCUUUCUUAGCUUCCUCACGAUUGUUACGGGGGUCACCUAAGCUGCUGAAGUAGAGCACUACUCAUUCCUUACUCAGCAAACAAGCACCAGCCUUACAAAAUACCAGGUAUCCUGGGAGCAUUAGCAGGGUGAUGGGCUAAUGACUCACUGGUGUGGAUAAUUAAGCAAGAUGUGUUGUGGAAAGCACGUCACAACUCAGCUGCGAGUUUGCUGCCUCCUGGUGAUUCACUCACUGAAAUGCUUUUGUGUUUUGUAACCUAAUUUGUUAAUAAGUUUAUAGGAAGCCAAUUAAGCUAGCUGCUGAUCUGUAUCAUUUUUGUUUCAUAGUCUUUGAUUAGAAAUGGCAGACUGUAUUCCUAAACUAUUUUAAUGCUCCACUCCAAAACCAAACCGAACCAGGUGACUGUUGUACUCGAUACCUGCCCAACAAGUUUAACUAAUGAGAUUUUACUCAUUCAGACUCAUCAGGGCCUGCAUCACCAAUCUGAAAAGGCCUAAGGAUGGGGAACUGCUCACACGAUCCAAAGCCAGUGCCCGAGCCCCUUCCAUCUUCAGUCUACUUAGUUUUCCUUCAUAGCAAAAUCCAAUUAGUUGGUUAUCUGUUUUCUAUUCCUAAACAUAACACUUGUAUUAAGAACUUUCUACAGCAACCACAUGAUGGCUCACAACCAUCUGUAAUGCUAUCCAGUGCCCUAUUCUGGUGUGUCUGAGGACAGCUACAGUGUACUCAUAUAUAAAAGUAAAUAAACAAACCUUGAAAAAAAUUACAUUUUAAAGGGGGGGGGGUGGUGGCUGGAGAGAUGGCUCAGUGGUUAAGAGCACUGCUCUUCCAAAUGUCCUGAGUUUAAAUCCCAGCAACCACAUGGAGGCUCACGACCAUCCGUAACGAGAUCUGACGCCCUCUUCUGGUACAUCUGAAGACAGCUACAGUCUACUUACAUGUAAUAAAUAAAUCUUUUAAAAAAAUUCAUCCAGAGGCAGGUGAACAAUAAAAUGUGAGUGCUGACCAGAGAAAUAACC
rnacentral:lncRNA from 1 species